UAAAAAGCUCGUAGUUGAACCUUGGGCCUGGCUGGCCGGUCCCCUCACCGGGUGCACUGAUCCAGCCGGGCCUUUCCCUCUGUGGAACCCCAUGGCCUUCACUGGCUGUGGCGGGGAAACAGGACUUUUACUUUGAAAAAAUUAGAGUGCUCCAGGCAGGCCUAUGCUCGAAUACAUUAGCAUGGAAUAAUAAAAUAGAAGUUGUGGUUCUAUUUUGUUGGUUUCUAGGACCGCCGUAAUGAUUAAUAGGGACAGUCGGGGGCAUCAGUAUUCAAUUGUCAGAGGUGAAAUUCUUGGAUCUAUUGAAGACUAACUACUGCGAAAGCAUUUGCCAAGGAUGUUUUCAUUGAUAAGGAACGAAAGUUAG
rnacentral:rRNA from 1 species